rnacentral:tRNA from 1 species
AUUUAUAUAGUUUAAAAAAAACAUUUCAUUUUCAAUGAAAAAAUAAACAAAAAUUUUAUAAAUU